rnacentral:rRNA from 1 species
GACGAACGCUGGCGGCGUGCUUAACACAUGCAAGUCGAACGAAGUGGCGAACGGGUGAGUAACGCGUAAUCAACCUGCCCUUCAGAGGGGUACAACAGUUGGAAACGACUGCUAAUACCGCAUACUGAAGUGGGGGGUUGCGUCUGAUUAGCUGGUUGGUGGGGUAACGGCCCACCAAGGUGAUGAUCAGUAGCCGGGCGGAGAGGAUGUACGGCCACAUUGGGACUGAGAAACGGCCCAGACCCCUACGGGAGGCAGCAGUGGGGAAUUUUCCGAAAUGGACGAAAGCCUGACGGAGCAACGCCGCGUGAGUGAUGACGGCCUUCGGGUUGUAAAGCUCUGUUAAUCGGGACGCGGUACCGGAAUAGAAAGCCACGGCGAACUACGUGCCAGCAGCCGCGGUAAUAC